rnacentral:rRNA from 1 species
CAGUAGCCACGGUAAAACGAAGGGUGCAAGCGUUAAUCGGAAUUACUGGGCGUAAAGCGUGCGUAGGCGGUUUGUUAAGUCUGUUGUGAAAUCCCCGGGCUCAACCUGGGAAUGGCAAUGGAUACUGGCAAGCUAGAGUGUGUCAGAGGAUGGUGGAAUUCCCGGUGUAGCGGUGAAAUGCGUAGAGAUCGGGAGGAACAUCAGUGGCGAAGGCGGCCAUCUGGGACAACACUGACGCUGAGGCACGAAAGCGUGGGGAGCAAACAGGAUUAGAUACCCGAGUAGUCCCUGUCUCUUAUAC